rnacentral:lncRNA from 1 species
AAGAGACAGACACAAUAACCAUUUCUUGAGCAGGAAGUGUAUCAGUAGGAAGCACAAGGAAUUUAUCUACCGAGAUCCCAUCUAUUCUUCCCUGCUUGCUGAAAACCUACCUGUUUUUAAAGUUUGUGUCACAGAGAUGAAACUGUUCUGUACUUCCAGGUUGUAUCAUCCAGUGUAGAAUUUUCCUGGAGUGAAGAAUUUACAGAAGAAGGGGCUAGAGACUAUAAGAGUGAUUGGUUGAGCUCAGAGCAUACAUGUAGUUUACCGGCUGGAGUCAGAACAAGUAGUUGAAGAUCUAAGUAGAAGUUGAACUUGAGAAAAACUGUGGAGUACAACAGAUGGUCUCACAAACGAUGCAUCUAAGAUCACCUAUCAGGAAGAUACACGGGGAAAGAAGUGAUUCCAAACAAAGAGUUCAGCUGCUCCGGGUGCCAGAUACUACAAUAAGUUAGCCCUGAAAUAAAAAGGAGAGAUGCUGUCUCCAUAGGAUUUAAGCAAUUACUGAAAAGUGAGAAGAUUGUCCAUGAAAGUGGAAGCCUGGAUCUUUGCACUGCAUCUGAUGAAUGCAUUCCUUUGUGUGCCAUUAUGUGAUGGUGAUGGUGAUAGUGGUGAUGAUGAAGGUCAUGUAAAGCCUCCAAUGUGUGUCGCAAGCGAACGGAUCAAUCUUCAUAACAAAUUUUCAUGAAUUAUUUGACAUCUCUUCUUGAACUCACUUUUAAAAUAACAAAGUAAUGAGAAGCAAACAUUUUUGACAGUUGAAAGGUCUCACUAUAUCUGAUAGUAGAAAGACUGGGAAAGAGAAAUAGCUGAAUUCUUGUUUGGAGUUUGCUCAUUUAUUAAAAUCACAUUAUGAAAUCCUCAAAUAGCUCAUGCUGUUGAACAAAGGUGAAUAUCAUGAUGCUAUCCCAGGAUUCAUUAAUGAUUCAUGUUACAAUAAAAAAUACUCGGGGCAUGAUUCUGCAAAAUCAGGAUUUUAAACCCAAGAGAGUAGAUAAAAGGC